GAACAUCUUUGGUGAACAUUAAUUGAUGAAGUUCUAUUGUACUUAUUGAUAUUUUUCUGUGCUACUUUUUCCUACCUACUUUGUUAGAAUUUGUAACUUACAAGUUCAUCGAGUCGAGCCCUACUUCCCCGUUUUUGCGUCAAUAUUCUACUGGUAAAACUUCCAGAACCAUUAUGUGUUUUGGAUAGAGCCAAAAAUGAUAAAAAGUUUGUGGAUAAUGUGUUAGAUGCUGAUCGACUUUGUGUGUAACUCAUACUCAUAGUAAGAGAUGCAAGCAACUAACAAGUCUCCCGAUGAAUGGUCCAGUCCGAGAGUUGGAAACAAUGUGUCUGUAUAAGUUGUGGAAUAUCUUUGGGAUGGCAUACAAGAAGACAAAAUGACAGGCCAUAGGCUUAUGGAAAGAAAUGAAGGGUGACAUUAUAUGGAAAAACAAAAAUAUCUCCAAGACAGAUGCUUGAUGGAUGCCCAUGUAUGCGUUGUUUGCAGGAUGAGCUCACCUCAAAAGCAUUAAUAUCUAGCGAACAUAAGAGCUGUGUUAAGUGUGCCGUUGCAUUGUAUCUAGUUAGUAGCUAUUUAUGUUCAUAGAUGUUGUUAAACUAUGAGCUUAAAUCACUUUAUAAUUUAUAUUAUCAUAUCAUUAAAUAGUAAAAAGCUAGUUAGGAACAUAACCCAUAUAUUUUAAUGUUAUUGUCAAGUUUAUUCUAUACCUACUUACUAAUAUGUUUGGCUGAUCAGCCAGCCAUCUACAUACCAAACCGGGGAUCACAAAGUAAUUUUUGUGUUAGUCCCUACCGGGAUUUGAACCCAGGACCUCCGGAUGUGAGCCCAACAUACAGCCACUGGACCACGGAGGCCGAGAGUACUUGAGUUGCUGUUUUAUUUCAACUAUUUGAUUAAAUGUAGACAUAUUUUGUAUGAG